rnacentral:rRNA from 1 species
GUCGAACGGUAACAGAUCUUCGGAUGCUGACGAGUGGCGAACGGGUGAGUAAUACAUCGGAACGUGCCCGAUCGUGGGGGAUAACGCAGCGAAAGCUGUGCUAAUACCGCAUACGAUCUACGGAUGAAAGCGGGGGACUCGCAAGGGCCUCGCGCGGACGGAGCGGCCGAUGGCAGAUUAGGUAGUUGGUGGGAUAAAAGCUUACCAAGCCGACGAUCUGUAGCUGGUCUGAGAGGACGACCAGCCACACUGGGACUGAGACACGGCCCAGACUCCUACGGGAGGCAGCAGUGGGGAAUUUUGGACAAUGGGCGCAAGCCUGAUCCAGCCAUGCCGCGUGCAGGAUGAAGGCCUUCGGGUUGUAAACUGCUUUUGUACGGAACGAAAAAGCCUUCUUUAAUAAAGGGGGUGAAUGACGGUACCGUAAGAAUAAGCACCGGCUAACUACGUGCCAGCAGCCGCGGUAAUACGUAGGGUGCAAGCGUUAAUCGGAAUUACUGGGCGUAAAGCGUGCGCAGGCGGUUAUGUAAGACAGAGGUGAAAUCCCCGGGCUCAACCUGGGAACUGCCUUUGUGACUGCAUAGCUGGAGUGCGGCAGAGGGGGAUGGAAUUCCGC